rnacentral:rRNA from 1 species
UCAAGUGACUAAGUGUAUGUGGUGGAUGCCUUGGCGAUCAUAGGCGAUGAAGGACGUGUAAGCCUGCGAAAAGCUGCGGGGAGUCGGCAAAAAGACUUUGAUCCGCAGAUGUCCGAAUGAGGAAACUCACCGGGUAACCGGUAUCACAAACUGAAUACAUAGGUUUGUGAAGCGAACGCAGUGAACUGAAACAUCUAAGUAACUGCAGGAAAAGAAAUCAACCGAGAUUGCGGCAGUAGCGGCGAGCGAAACCGCAGCAGCCUAGUCUUUGAUAAUGCAUGGUGACAGCAGAACGGUCUGGAAAGGCCGGCCACAGUGGGUGACAGCCCCGUAUGCGAAGUCCGGUGCAUGGUACUAAGGAGACGAUAAGUAGGGCGGGACACGUGACAUCCUGUCCGAAGACGGGGGGACCAUCCUCCAAGGCUAAAUACUCAUGAUCGACCGAUAGCGAACCAGUACUGUGAAGGAAAGGCGAAAAGAACCCCGGGAGGGGAGUGAAAGAGAACCUGAAACCGCAUACAUACAAACAGUAGGAGCCCUACGGGGUGACUGCGUACCUUUUGCAUAAUGGGUCAGCGACUUACGUUUUGCGGCAAGCUUAACCGAGUAGGGGAGGCGCAGCGAAAGCGAGUUCGAACAGAGCGAUAGAGUCGUAAGGCGUAGACCCGAAACCAGAUGAGCUAACCAUGGCCAGGUUGAAGGUGUGGUAACACACACUGGAGGACCGAACCGACCGGUGUUGCAAAACCGGCGGAUGAGCUGUGGUUAGGGGUGAAAGGCUUAACAAAUCUGGAGAUAGCUGGUUCUCCCCGAAAACUAUUGAGGUAGUGCCUCGUGACUGACUCCGGGGGGUAGAGCACUGUUAUGGCUAGGGGGACAUGGCGUCUUACCAAACCAUGGCAAACUCCGAAUACCCGGAAGUUGAAUCACGGGAGACAGAGCACCGGGUGCUAACGUCCGGACUCAAAAGGGAAACAACCCAGACCGCCGUUUAAGGUCCCAAAUACAGGCUAAGUGGAAAACGAAGUGUGAAGGCUAAGACAGUCAGGAAGUUGGCUUAGAAGCAGCCAUCCUUCAAAGAAAGCGUAAUAGCUCACUGAUCGAGUCCUCAUGCGCGGAAGAUGUAACGGGGCUAAGUCUGUAACCGAAAGCGCGGAUUUGCACGCAAGUGCAAGUGGUAGGGGAGCGUUCUGUAAGCCUGCGAAGGUGUGUGGUAACGCAUGCCGGAGGUAUCAGAAGUGCGAAUGCUGACAUGAGUAACGAUAAAGCGGGUGAAAAGCCCGCUCGCCGUAAGCCCAAGGUUUCCUGCUCUACGUUCAUCGGAGCAGGGUGAGUCGGCCCCUAAGGCCAGGCUGAGAAGCGUAGCUGAUGGGAAGCAGAUUAAGAUUUCUGCACCGACGUUAAGUGCGAAGGGGGGACGGAGUUUUGAGCAUCAUCCGGGUGUUGGAUGUCCCGGUUUGUGCGUGUAGGAGGCCGGCAGGCAAAUCCGCCGGCAUAUCUCCGAGACAAAGCAUCGAGCUGCAUUUUGCAGUGAAGUGAUGGGAUGAACUUCCAGGAAAAGCCUCUAAGCAAUAGCUUAAUGUCGACCGUACCGUAAACCGACACAGGUGGGCGAGUUGAAUAUACUCAGGCGCUUGAGAGAACUCGGGAGAAGGAACUCGGCAAAUUGACACCGUAACUUCGGGAUAAGGUGUGCCUUUGUAGUGUGAAGGGUGAAACACUCCGAGCAUGAAGAGGUCACAGAGAAUAGGUGGCUGCAACUGUUUACUAAAAACACAGCACUCUGCAAAGACGAAAGUCGACGUAUAGGGUGUGAUGCCUGCCCGGUGCCGGAAGAUUAAGUGAUGGGGUGAGAGCUCCUGAUCGAAGUCCCGGUAAACGGCGGCCGUAACUAUAACGGUCCUAAGGUAGCGAAAUUCCUUGUCGGGU